AGGGACACCUACAGCCUUCGAAGCUUCCACUGUCUCCACCAAUUUUCUUUUCUCCCCUCAAGAUCCUGGAGAGAACACAUACUUCUGGUAACUUGGAAGUAUGGAUACAGACUGGAAGAUGGCAGAGGAGGAGUGACCUACUCUUGCUCCACCCACAAGACACAGCUGGGCUUCUUGGGCCUGCAGUACAUAGGAAAUUGCUAUACACCACUGACCUUGUGACUUGCUUUGACCAAUAACAAGUGCACAGAAGUGACAGUCUACCAGUUUUCAGCCUGGACCAUAAGACACUGUGUUUUAACUUCCUUUUAUACUGAUUGAUCUCCAUGAGGGCUACUUCUCCUUUAAGCCCUUUAUCCUGGGCUCCAGAGUGGAUACCUUCAGGAAGGACUCACCCCUGCUGACUGGACAUCCCAUGAAUGAGAAAGAAGGAUGACUAUUAAUUCUCUGUGUCUUGGGAUGGCUUGUUACACAGCAUACUGUGACAAUAGCUGACUGAUACAAAUAUUUAGAUGAAGUUCUAUAGCCUGGGCAGGGGGAUUGAGAUUGACUAUGUGAGUCAGAGUUCUCUAGAGUGACAGAACUAAUAGAAUGAACAUGUAUUAUGAAGGGAACUUAUUAGAUUGGCUUAUGGGUUAUGAGCUGAGCAAUUCUGGAAGGUCAGGAGAACCUGGUAGCUGCUUAGUCCACCAGGCCAGAUGCCUCAGCAGUCCCAGUCUGACACUGAAGACCUGGAGGAUUCCUGGAGAGCUGCUGGUCUUCAGUCCACUGUGGAAAGCUGGCGGAGCAGGGCUCUGAUGUCUGUGAAGGAUGAUAGCAGCAAGGUAGAUGAAUUCACCAGCAAGAAGCAUAGGCAGCCGGGCAAGAAGCUCUGUGCUCUCUUGGAGCUUCGUUAUAUAUACAGUCCACUGCUGGAAGGGCCGGCCACUCUGGGAGAAGGACUUCCACCUCCCAUCAGCCCUUCCUGGAAAAGUCCUCACAGAGCCAGCCAAGAGGCAUGGCUCUUACUUGACUCCUAAUCUGAUCAAGUUGACAGUAGAACAACCAUCCCAAUACCAGUCUUCCAAUUUUAUUUCUUUCUUUUUGGUCUUCCUGUGUCAGGUGCUGAUGAUACAAUUACAAAAAUCAAUAAAAUAAAUUUAUUAACGA